rnacentral:rRNA from 1 species
AUUGAACGCUGGCGGCAUGCCUUACACAUGCCAGUCGAACGGCAGCAUGAUCUAGCUUGCUAGAUUGAUGGCGAGUGGCGAACGGGUGAGUAAUACAUCGGAACGUGCCCUGUAGUGGGGGAUAACUAGUCGAAAGAUUAGCUAAUACCGCAUACGACCUGAGGGUGAAAGUGGGGGACCGCAAGGCCUCAUGCUAUAGGAGCGGCCGAUGUCUGAUUAGCUAGUUGGUGAGGUAAAGGCUCACCAAGGCGACGAUCAGUAGCUGGUCUGAGAGGACGAUCAGCCACACUGGGACUGAGACACGGCCCAGACUCCUACGGGAGGCAGCAGUGGGGAAUUUUGGACAAUGGGCGAAAGCCUGAUCCAGCAAUGCCGCGUGUGCGAAGAAGGCCUUCGGGUUGUAAAGCACUUUUGUCCGGAAAGAAAUGGCUCUGGUUAAUACCUGGGGUCGAUGACGGUACCGGAAGAAUAAGGACCGGCUAACUACGUG